rnacentral:rRNA from 1 species
UACAGAGGGGGCAAGCGUUGUUCGGAAUUACUGGGCGUAAAGGGCGCGUAGGUGGCCUUCUAAGUUGAACGUGAAAUCCCUGGGCUCAACCCAGGAACUGCGUCCAAGACUGGGAGGCUUGAAUCCGGGAGAGGGAUGCGGAAUUCCAGGUGUAGCGGUGAAAUGCGUAGAUAUCUGGAGGAACACCGGUGGCGAAGGCGGCAUCCUGGACCGGUAUUGACGCUGAGGCGCGAAAGCCAGGGGAGCAAACGGG